GGGCCCGCACAAGCGGUGGAGCAUGUGGUUUAAUUCGAAGCAACGCGAAGAACCUUACCAGGUCUUGACAUACUCGUGCUAUUCCUAGAGAUAGGAAGUUCCUUCGGAACAUCGGUGACAGGUGGUGCAUGGUUGUCGUCAGCUCGUGUCGUGAGAUGUUGGGUUAAGUCCCGCAACGAGCGCAACCCCCUAUUGUUAAUUGCCAUCAUUAAGUUGGGCACUCUAAGUUGACUGCCGGUGACAAACCGGAGGAAGGUGGGG
rnacentral:rRNA from 1 species